GUGGUUAGUAUACACAGCUUGAUUCUAAACGAAAUAAAAACUAAGCGGUAUCAAGAACAAAUAUACAUUGUGCCGAUGGAUAUUGUGAAUUUUAUUGUGGGAACAUAUGACGACAAGUACUAUGAUAAGAGCAC